GCUAAUGUGCCAUAAGUCGAGAGAUGAAAGUAGUAAUACGCUGAAGGAUGAGCCCGCGCCCGAUUAGCUAGUUGGUAAGGUAAAGGCUUACCAAGGCACCGAUCGGUAGCUGGUCUGAGAGGAUGAUCAGCCACAAUGGGACUGAGACACGGCCCAUACUCCUACGGGAGGCAGCAGUGGGGAAUUUUACACAAUGGGGGAAACCCUGAUGUAGCGACACCGCGUGAGCGAAGAAGCCCCUUGGGGUGUAAAGCUCUGUCAGCAGGGACGAAAGAAAUGACGGUACCUGCAGAGGAAGCAUCGGCUAACUACGUGCCAGCAGCCGCGGUAAGACGUAGGGUGCGAGCGUUGUCCGGAUUUAUUGGGCGUAAAGAGUUCGUAGGUGGUUCGUUAAGUCUGGUGUAAAAGACUGGGGCUCAACCCUGGGGUAGCACUGGAUACUGGCGGACUGGAGUGCAGUAGAGGCAAGCGGAAUUCCCAGUGUAGCGGUGAAAUGCGUAGAUAU
rnacentral:rRNA from 1 species